CCUACGGGUGGCAGCAGUGAGGAAUAUUGGUCAAUGGGCGCGAGCCUGAACCAGCCAAGUCGCGUGAGGGAAGACGGUCCUAUGGAUUGUAAACCUCUUUUGUCGGGGAGCAAAAGACGCCACGCGUGGCGUUCCGAGAGUACCCGAAGAAAAAGCAUCGGCUAACUCCGUGCCAGCAGCCGCGGUAAUACGGAAGGUCCGGGCGUUAUCCGGAUUUAUUGGGUUUAAAGGGAGCGUAGGCCGCAUGUCAAGCGUGCUGUGAAAUGUCCGGGCUCAACCCGGGCCUUGCAGCGCGAACUGGCGUGCUUGAGUCCGCGGAAAGCAGGCGGAAUUCGUCGUGUAGCGGUGAAAUGCUUAGAUAUGACGAAGAACCCCGAUUGCGAAGGCAGCUUGCUGCAGCGGAACUGACGCUGAUGCUCGAAAGCGCGGGUAUCGAACAGGAUUAGAUACCCCUGUAGUC
rnacentral:rRNA from 1 species